AGCAUAUUGAAACAAAAUGCCCAAAUCUUAAGUUCAUUCAUCUCUUUCUUCCAAAUCUGAAUCAACGCUGCAAUAUUGAGCAACUGAAAGUAAUCCAAAUCAAAAAUUGGAGUAUAUAAGAAGCACGUUUUCAUUUCAAAAUUCCUUUGAAUCGUUAGCCACUCCUUUAUAAUUAACUAUAAUCAAGACUUCGUAUAUUCCGUUACUAAGAAGAAUGUGGAAAAGAGAAUUGGAAGAUCACGGAACCAGUAUAAGGGGAGAAGAAGAAGAAGUCUUCCUUGAUAAAAUGGGGAAAUAAGGAAACAAUGACAAUAACGAAGAGAGUACCAGCAGCAGUAAGGGUGCACAGGAACCGAGCCGGACCGAUGGACCGUCCCGAAACCGAUGGAACCGUAC